UAACCUAAACUUUAUCUUCUCAAUGCAGAUCCUUUCCUUGCCUCUCCCUCUACAUAGCAACAUGAUUUCUUCCCUCUCCAUAAGACCUCCUUCUUUCUUUCCUAUCCAGGGCAGCAAGGGUUCUUCCCUCUCCACAGCACCACCUUCUUUCUUUCCUCUCAAUAGCAGUAAGGUUUCUUCCCUCUCUACAGCAAGCAAGGAAGAGGGAAGCCCGAGAUAUCAAGUUCCUCCUCCUGAUUCUGUACUUUUAAGGUUUAGGGUUUUUGGAAUCAUUCACUACGAUGGAUUUGGCAUCUCCGAACCAUCUGGAGUUUGAUUAUUUGCUGAAGUUGUUGCUUAUUGGCGAUUCUAGUGUUGUUAAAAGCAGUCAUCUUCUUAGAUUCACUUCGGACUUCCUAGACCACGCGGAAGUCGCUGAUCUGACGACGGGGAAUGACGGGGAGCAAGUAGUCGGUGUCAUUUAAAUCAACAGAAUACAUUUCACGACGACGACAGCGUCGAAGACUAUUUACAAAGGCGACGAAGUCUUCGAUUGUGGCUCGCCCUACUAAACUGGUAGAAGAAUUCUACACAGUUUACUUUGAAGUUGAACUGCUAUCCCUCUUUGAUUUCUUCUCUACAUUAGGGAUUCGUAGACUACUGGUGGAAGCCACUGGUUUAAAUCAAGUACCACUUGCCCACCUCUGUAAUCGCAGCGUUGCGGAUCAUGGAUCUGUAAAAAGGCUCGCUCUACUAAAUUGGUAGUAAAUUGGAUGUACAAAGUGAAGAACUACAAACUUUAGUUUUCUUAGAAAGAUCAAAAGAAGAGAAGAUGAAUCUAUAA